AUUAACGCGAAGAACCUUACCUACCCUUGACAUGGCAGGAAUCCUGGAGAGAUCCGGGAGUGCUCGAAAGAGAACCUGCACACAGGUGCUGCAUGGCUGUCGUCAGCUCGUGUCGUGAGAUGUUGGGUUAAGUCCCGCAACGAGCGCAACCCUUGUCAUCAGUUGCUACGAAAGAGCACUCUAAUGAGACUGCCGGUGACAAACCGGAGGAAGGUGGGGAUGACGUCAAGUCCUCAUGGCCCUUAUGGGCAGGGCUUCACACGUCAUACAAUGGUACAUACAGAGGGCCGCCAACCCGCGAGGGGGAGCUAAUCCCAGAAAGUGUAUCGUAGUCCGGAUUAUAGUCUGCAACUCGACUACAUGAAGUUGGAAUCGCUAGUAAUCGCGGAUCAGCAUGUCGCGGUGAAUACGUUCCCGGGCCUUGUACACACCGAAU
rnacentral:rRNA from 1 species